ACAUGUCAACAACACAGACAAGUUUUCCAUGACUUGCUCUGUUGCUUGGACGUUGAAGGCCUGCUGGCGUUUCACUACUGUCGGCUCCUUUUAAAUUCAUUAGCAGGAACUAUGCAAAACUGGCUUCAGUUUGAUAAGAUUGAACUGCUGUCAAAGAUGCAAUUGUUUUUCCAGCUUCUUAACUGUCCGGUUAACUGGACUGUCUCACCCUCGAGGCAAAUCAAUGACA
rnacentral:misc_RNA from 1 species